rnacentral:rRNA from 1 species
UACGAGGGGGGCGAGCGUUGUUCGGAAUUAUUGGGCGUAAAGGGCGCGUAGGCGGUCGGAUAAGUCUUGUGUGAAAUCUUCGGGCUCAACUCGAAGUCUGCACAGGAAACUAUCUGGCUUGAGUGUGGGAGAGGUGAGUGGAAUUCCUGGUGUAGCGGUGAAAUGCGUAGAUAUCAGGAGGAACACCUGUGGCGAAAGCGGCUCACUGGACCACAACUGACGCUGAGGCGCGAAAGCUAGGGGAGCAAACAGGAUUAGAUACCCUGGUAGUCCUAGCCCUAAACGAUGAUUGCUUGGUGUGACGGGUACCCAAUCCCGCCGUGCCGCAGCUAACGCGUUAAGCAAUCCGCCUGGGGAGUACGGUCGCAAGGCUGAA